CGUACUAGAGCUUGUUCAAGCAUUUUAUUUACAUUAAAAAGUUUACUGUGAAAUUCAGUUUAGUGUGA
rnacentral:tRNA from 2 species